rnacentral:rRNA from 1 species
GCAAGUCGAACGCGAAAGGGAACUUCGGUCCUGAGUAAAGUGGCGCACGGGUGAGUAACGCGUGGAUAAUCUGCCCUUAUGAUCGGGAUAACAGUUGGAAACGGCUGCUAAUACCGGAUACGCUCAAAAUGAACUUUUUGAGGAAAGAUGGCCUCUGCUUGCAUGCUAUCACGUAAGGAUGAGUCCGCGUCCCAUUAGCUUGUUGGCGGGGUAACGGCCCACCAAGGCAACGAUGGGUAGCCGAUUUGAGAGGAUGAUCGGCCACACUGGAACUGAAACACGGUCCAGACUCCUACGGGAGGCAGCAGUGGGGAAUAUUGCGCAAUGGGCGAAAGCCUGACGCAGCGACGCCGCGUGAGGGGAAUGAAGGUUUUCGGAUCGUAAACCUCUGUCAGAAGGGAAGAAACUACGUUGUGCUAAUCAGCAGCGUACUGACGGUACCUUCAAAGGAAGCACCGGCUAACUCCGUGCCAGCCGCCGC